rnacentral:rRNA from 1 species
AACGAACGCUGGCGGCAUGCCUAACACAUGCCAGUCGAACGAGACCUUCGGGUCUAGUGGCGCACGGGUGCGUAACGCGUGGGAACCUGCCCUUAGGUUCGGAAUAACUCCCCGAAAGGGGUGCUAAUACCGGAUAAUGUCUUCGGACCAAAGAUUUAUCGCCUUUGGAUGGGCCCGCGUUGGAUUAGCUAGUUGGUAGGGUAAAAGCCUACCAAGGCGACGAUCCAUAGCUGGUCUGAGAGGAUGAUCAGCCACACUGGGACUGAGACACGGCCCAGACUCCUACGGGAGGCAGCAGUGGGGAAUAUUGGACAAUGGGCGAAAGCCUGAUCCAGCAAUGCCGCGUGAGUGAUGAAGACCUUAGGGUUGUAAAGCUCUUUUACCCGGGAUGAUAAUGACAGUACCGGGAGAAUAAGCGCCGGCUAACUCCGUG